rnacentral:misc_RNA from 1 species
AAUUUCCCCACCAUUUAAUUGCAAAUCUUUGGUCAGAUGGUCUAGAUUUUUAUGGUUUCACAAACUUUGGCAUCACAAUUUGCAAAUACUUCAGGUCUAGCAGUUCAAAUUUAUUUUGUUACGUUGUAAAAGUUAUCCAGAUUUUCUGCUCCAAUCUUUGCUAUAUUUCUUCUAAGCAGUUUAGUUUCUUAUGGGUCAUCAAAAUUGGUGUUAAAUUCAGAGGGCGAUAUCAUUACAAAUUUUGGGGUAGCCGGGUAGGACACCUAAUUUCUCAUAUAGCCUCAAUCCAUUAUUUUGGUUAUAAGCACUGUUCACUUUCAUCUUCAGCAGCUCAUUUACAAUUUAAAUUAAUGAGACUCGGGAUAUCAAUUGGUUCACUUUCCUCUUGGACAAACUUGUUCACUGUUCAUAUAAAUUCAGUGAAGACGACAAUCUGCAUGCUUAAAAUAAUGAAACCUAGACAAAAUACCAAAUCAUGGUCAUGAAGAAUCAAGCUUAUAUGAGAAGAUCUGCUAUUUUGCUAUAUUAUGGGAAAGUUGGUCCUGUUGCAGCCUUGCAAGCAAGAACAUGC